rnacentral:rRNA from 1 species
UACGUAGGGGGCGAGCGUUGUCCGGAUUUAUUGGGCGUAAAGAGCGUGUAGGCGGCCAGGUAGGUCUGCUGUGAAAACUCGAGGCUCAACCUCGAGACGUCGGCGGAAACCAUCUGGCUAGAGUCCGGAAGAGGAGAGUGGAAUUCCUGGUGUAGCGGUGAAAUGCGCAGAUAUCAGGAAGAACACCCGUGGCGAAGGCAGCACUCUGGGACGGUACUGACGCUGAGACGCGAAAGCGUGGGGAGCGAACAGG